UUAAGUUAUUAAGGGCGCACGGUGGAUGCCUUGGCCCUAAAAGCCGAUGAAGGACGUUACUAACGACGAUAUGCUUUGGGGAGCUGUAAGUAAGCUUUGAUCCAGAGAUUUCCGAAUGGGGAAACCCAGCAUGAGUUAUGUCAUGUUAUCGAUAUGUGAAUACAUAGCAUAUCAGAAGGCACACCCGGAGAACUGAAACAUCUUAGUACCCGGAGGAAGAGAAAGAAAAUUCGAUUCCCUUAGUAGCGGCGAGCGAAACGGGAAGAGCCCAAACCAACAAGCUUGCUUGUUGGGGUUGUAGGACACUCUAUACGGAGUUACAAAGGACGACAUUAGACGAAUCAUCUGGAAAGAUGAAUCAAAGAAGGUAAUAAUCCUGUAGUCGAAAAUGUUGUCUCUCUUGAGUGGAUCCUGAGUACGACGGAGCACGUGAAAUUCCGUCGGAAUCUGGGAGGACCAUCUCCUAAGGCUAAAUACUCUCUAGUGACCGAUAGUGAACCAGUACCGUGAGGGAAAGGUGAAAAGCACCCCGGAAGGGGAGUGAAAUAGAACCUGAAACCGUGUGCUUACAAGUAGUCAGAGCCCGUUAAUGGGUGAUGGCGUGCCUUUUGUAGAAUGAACCGGCGAGUUACGAUUUGAUGCAAGGUUAAGCAGUAAAUGUGGAGCCGUAGCGAAAGCGAGUCUGAAUAGGGCGUUUAGUAUUUGGUCGUAGACCCGAAACCAGGUGAUCUACCCUUGGUCAGGUUGAAGUUCAGGUAACACUGAAUGGAGGACCGAACCGACUUACGUUGAAAAGUGAGCGGAUGAACUGAGGGUAGCGGAGAAAUUUCAAACGAACCUGGAGAUAGCUGGUUCUCUCCGAAAUAGCUUUAGGGCUAGCCUCAAGUGAUGAUUAUUGGAGGUAGAGCACUGUUUGGACGAGGGGCCCCUCUCGGGUUACCGAAUUCAGACAAACUCCGAAUGCCAAUUAAUUUAACUUGGGAGUCAGAACAUGGGUGAUAAGGUCCGUGUUCGAAAGGGAAACAGCCCAGACCACCAGCUAAGGUCCCAAAAUAUAUGUUAAGUGGAAAAGGAUGUGGCGUUGCCCAGACAACUAGGAUGUUGGCUUAGAAGCAGCCAUCAUUUAAAGAGUGCGUAAUAGCUCACUAGUCGAGUGACACUGCGCCGAAAAUGUACCGGGGCUAAACAUAUUACCGAAGCUGUGGAUUGUCCUUUGGACAAUGGUAGGAGAGCGUUCUAAGGGCGUUGAAGCAUGAUCGUAAGGACAUGUGGAGCGCUUAGAAGUGAGAAUGCCGGUGUGAGUAGCGAAAGACGGGUGAGAAUCCCGUCCACCGAUUGACUAAGGUUUCCAGAGGAAGGCUCGUCCGCUCUGGGUUAGUCGGGUCCUAAGCUGAGGCCGACAGGCGUAGGCGAUGGAUAACAGGUUGAUAUUCCUGUACCACCUAUAAUCGUUUUAAUCGAUGGGGGGACGCAGUAGGAUAGGCGAAGCGUGCGAUUGGAUUGCACGUCUAAGCAGUAAGGCUGAGUAUUAGGCAAAUCCGGUACUCGUUAAGGCUGAGCUGUGAUGGGGAGAAGACAUUGUGUCUUCGAGUCGUUGAUUUCACACUGCCGAGAAAAGCCUCUAGAUAGAAAAUAGGUGCCCGUACCGCAAACCGACACAGGUAGUCAAGAUGAGAAUUCUAAGGUGAGCGAGCGAACUCUCGUUAAGGAACUCGGCAAAAUGACCCCGUAACUUCGGGAGAAGGGGUGCUCUUUAGGGUUAACGCCCAGAAGAGCCGCAGUGAAUAGGCCCAAGCGACUGUUUAUCAAAAACACAGGUCUCUGCUAAACCGUAAGGUGAUGUAUAGGGGCUGACGCCUGCCCGGUGCUGGAAGGUUAAGAGGAGUGGUUAGCUUCUGCGAAGCUACGAAUCGAAGCCCCAGUAAACGGCGGCCGGAAAUAUAACGGUCCUAAAGUAGCGAAAUUCCUUGUCGGGUAAGUUCCGACCCGCACGAAAGGCGUAACGAUUUGGGCACUGUCUCAACGAGAGACUCGGUGAAAUCAUAGUACCUGUGAAGAUGCAGGUUACCCGCGACAGGACGGAAAGACCCCGUGGAGCUUUACUGUAGCCUGAUAUUGAAAUUCGGCACAGCUUGUACAGGAUAGGUAGGAGCCUUUGAAACGUGAGCGCUAGCUUACGUGGAGGCGCUGGUGGGAUACUACCCUAGCUGUGUUGGCUUUCUAACCCGCACCACUUAUCGUGGUGGGAGACAGUGUCAGGCGGGCAGUUUGACUGGGGCGGUCGCCUCCUAAAAGGUAACGGAGGCGCUCAAAGGUUCCCUCAGAAUGGUUGGAAAUCAUUCAUAGAGUGUAAAGGCAUAAGGGAGCUUGACUGCGAGACCUACAAGUCGAGCAGGGUCGAAAGACGGACUUAGUGAUCCGGUGGUUCCGCAUGGAAGGGCCAUCGCUCAACGGAUAAAAGCUACCCCGGGGAUAACAGGCUUAUCUCCCCCAAGAGUUCACAUCGACGGGGAGGUUUGGCACCUCGAUGUCGGCUCAUCGCAUCCUGGGGCUGUAGUCGGUCCCAAGGGUUGGGCUGUUCGCCCAUUAAAGCGGUACGCGAGCUGGGUUCAGAACGUCGUGAGACAGUUCGGUCCCUAUCCGUCGUGGGCGUAGGAAAUUUGAGAGGAGCUGUCCUUAGUACGAGAGGACCGGGAUGGACAUACCUCUGGUGUACCAGUUGUCGUGCCAACGGCAUAGCUGGGUAGCUAUGUGUGGACGGGAUAAGUGCUGAAAGCAUCUAAGCAUGAAGCCCCCCUCAAGAUGAGAUUUCCCAACUUCGGUUAUAAGAUCCCUCAAAGAUGAUGAGGUUAAUAGGUUCGAGGUGGAAGCAUGGUGACAUGUGGAGCUGACGAAUACUAAUCGAUCGAAGACUUAAUCAA
rnacentral:rRNA from 1 species